rnacentral:rRNA from 1 species
GAUGAACGUUGGCGGUGUGCCUAAUACAUGCAAGUCGAACGGAGUUAAUAGCAAUAUUGACUUAGUGGCGAACGGGUGAGUAACGCGUUGGUGAUCUGCCUUGAAGUGUGGAAUAACGCUCCGAAAGGAGCGCUAAUACCGCAUGUGCUCUCAAUUUUUAGAAACUUGAGAGGAAAGGAUUUAUUCGCUUCGAGAGGAGCCUGCGUCCCAUCAGCUGGUUGGUAGGGUAAAGGCCUACCAAGGCAAUGACGGGUAGGGGACCUGAGAGGGUGGCCCCCCACAAUGGAACUGAAACACGGUCCAUACACCUACGGGUGGCAGCAGUAGGGAAUAUUAGAAAUGGACGAAAGUCUGAUCUAGCAACACCGCGUGUGCGAAAGAAGGCCUUCGGGUCGUAAAGCACUUUUUGGAAGGAAUAGGAAGGAAUGUAACUUCCAAGAAUAAGUCUCGGCUAACUACGUAG